rnacentral:rRNA from 1 species
CGCUGGCGGCGUGCCUAAUACAUGCAAGUCGAGCGAACUGAUUAGAAGCUUGCUUCUAUGACGUUAGCGGCGGACGGGUGAGUAACACGUGGGCAACCUGCCUGUAAGACUGGGAUAACUUCGGGAAACCGAAGCUAAUACCGGAUAGGAUCUUCUCCUUCAUGGGAGAUGAUUGAAAGAUGGUUUCGGCUAUCACUUGCAGAUGGGCCCGCGGUGCAUUAGCUAGUUGGUGAGGUAACGGCUCACCAAGGCAACGAUGCAUAGCCGACCUGAGAGGGUGAUCGGCCACACUGGGACUGAGACACGGCCCAGACUCCUACGGGAGGCAGCAGUAGGGAAUCUUCCGCAAUGGACGAAAGUCUGACGGAGCAACGCCGCGUGAGUGAUGAAGGCUUUCGGGUCGUAAAACUCUGUUGUUAGGGAAGAACAAGUACAAGAGUAACUGCUUGUACCUUGACGGUACCUAACCAGAAAGCCACGGCU